rnacentral:rRNA from 1 species
CCAGACUCCUACGGGAGGCAGCAGUGGGGAAUAUUGCACAAUGGGGGGAACCCUGAUGCAGCGACGCCGCGUGAAGGAAGAAGUAUUUCGGUAUGUAAACUUCUAUCAGCAGGGAAGAAAAAGGACGGUACCUGACUAAGAAGCCCCGGCUAACUACGUGCCAGCAGCCGCGGUAAUACGUAGGGGGCGAGCGUUAUCCGGAUUUACUGGGUGUAAAGGGAGCGCAGGCGGCGCGCCAAGUCUGGUGUGAAACCCCGGGGCUCAACCCCGGGACUGCAUUGGAAACUGGCGGGCUGGAGUGUCGGAGGGGCAGGCGGAAUUCCUGGUGUGGCGGUGAAAUGCGUAGAUAUCAGGAGGAACACCGGUGGCGAAGGCGGCCUGCUGGACGACAACUGACGCUGAGGCUCGAAAGCGUGGGGAGCAAACAGGAUUAGAUACCCCAGUA